UGAAGACAGGGAUACCCAGAGUCGCUAAUCCCAGCCUCCAUCUCCCCUUAGAUCCAAUCAUUGGUCAAGUUCUGUCCAUGUCUCCUUGAGGAUUAUCUCUUCCUUUCUAUUUCUAUUACCCCUCACUAUGUUCAGGAAGUGGAUGGGGACCUUUAAUGGAAAGAGACGAAGAUGGAAUGGUCCUGUUUACAUUUGCAUCUUGAAUGACUUGGAUUUAUUGUUUUAAACCAAGUUUCCUGCCUGUAAUAGAAUCAUUAAGAGAGCUCUUAGUUUUUAUUGGGAACACAUGUAUGUUCAGAAGUGCCUAGUCAGAUGUGCUCAGGAGAAGGACAGCACAUUUUAAUCACAUCUCUCUCCGUUUAGUCUUUGGUAAGUUGCUUUAUCUGUGUACAUUUUGGUGAUUUCACUGUAAAAUGGGGCUGGUACAAAUAAACAAUUUCCUAAGGAUGUGUGAAUUAACCAGUGGUUAUAAAGAGCUUUGAAAUGAUGAUGUGCUAUCAAUGCUAAGUCAAAUUAUGAAAUUGCACCUUUGCAAAAAUGCUAUUGUGGAAAUAAAUGAAUCUGAACAUUGUA